CGGCAGAGCUGUAGGCCUCACAGUGGUGACGCGGGGUCAUCCGCGGGCCCGUUACCACCUCAUUUUCCUAUGCGCGCGGCUGCAGGGCGCACGGGACGAGAACAGUUCCUGUCUGCUGCCUUCUCGGUCCAAUGAAUGUAUAGAGAAGUCCAGAAAAAAUCUUGGCUGUUGGAGACGGAAUGGGGAAGUUGUUGGCACUGGGGCAGGGGAAAGUGGACGUUUAGUGUGGGCAAAGAAAAGCCAAAAGAGCAAGAACUCGUUUUCCUUGGUGAAGCGGAAGGGUACUUCAUAGGCCGCACGGUGACGUAAGCGCCCCGUCUGCUCCGUGGAAGAGGCGUGUGGUGGCUGGAGAGUGCGCUACGCUUGCGCACAGGGAAGAAAGAAGCGGUUGAGCUCUCAGCUUGGGGGUUGGACGAUCUGCGGCUGUUGCUUUGGCAAGCCUAGAGCUGUCUGCGUUUACCCAACCUGAUUGGUUGCCUGUUCUGUUAAGAGCCUGCGUUUGUAGUUGAGCUCGCAGAACGUUUUAUUCUUACAAUUGACGUGUAAGUGAAAUUGCGGUUUUUUCGCUACCACACCGUGAAAAAAAUUUUUUAUUGACCUUAUUCAGCGAGCCAGACUCAGUGUUCCAGCAAAUGGAAGUAACCGAGACAGAAAUAACUCUUGACCUCAUGGAGUUUACAAUGCAACGAAAGAGGAUUACCCGGGGCAGAAUGUGCACAAAAGAAGUAAAAGUGACCACGGUUUGUCUUUCCUGUGCCGCCCAAGGGGCAGUGUGACAAAGGGAACCAGUGCGCCUGCGUCAUAUCCCAUAAUGAGUUAUGUCAAGGGAACCAAAGAACUUCCAUCUUGAAGAAAUCCUGUGUGUGCCUGUAUUUGCAUAACCCAACCCCUUCUCAGAAAUCUCCACUGUUCUCCCAGGACCUCAUAAAUAAACAUCAAAACUGCUCCUCUCUGCCUUGUUGAAACGCUUAAAUACUUGGCUCCUAGGCAAAUCAGCAAGACUGUCUCUCUGAAGGUUCUAGCCCUUACUGUCUCCUUUUGCUAGCUGCUGGUAAAAUAACUUUGCUUGUGUGACUCCAGGCUGCCUCAGUAGUCUUAUUAGGCAGCCCGAAUCCGAUUGGGUUCACCCAAGGAAGGGGCCCUCGGAAACAAGAGCAAGAAGCAAAAUCCAGAAGACUACUAGUGCAAAAGGUGCAACCAGCUAGAAGGGAAGGCAGAACUGGACUGAGUUUCAGAAUAAGUGGAGGCCGAGACAAGCACAAAGUCCCGGGGUGAUACAAGUGGUUUGUGCUCGACUACUCACCUAAAGGUUGGCACUACCCAGUGCUGCUGGGGAAGAAGGCCUGGCCAUCUGUUUCCAUAAAGAUUAUAGCCAAGAAAACCCUGUGGAGCAAUUCUACUCUAACAUGUGGAGUUGCAUUGAGUCAGAAUUGACUCGAGGGCAACAGGUUUGCAGGUUUGGUGUUUUUUUUUUUUGUUUUUGGAGACAAGCACAAAGCAAGAUAAGAUGGUGGUUUGGGAGCUAGUUCUACAUGCAACCCGUUCUCAACUUUCGCUCUUAAGAACAGCAUGACUGUGGAUCUCAAAGCACCCCGGGGUGGGAUAGCAUGCUAGGUAGUUUGGUUAGUUCGAUUAAAUGAGCAGAUUUUGUGGUGAGUGAGGAAGAUACCAAGAUCAUUAAGGGAGAUAACCAGUUUCCAGAAAAAGGAAAAUUAAAUGCAUCAGUGCUACUCUGUGUUCUUUUGUCCCCUGUUUCUAUGCUGAUAAUCCUACAGUCCCAAGCAAGUGUGAUUUUCCUGAAGGAAAGCAUUUUGUAAAUAGCAUGAGAGGACAAAUAAAAGUUUUACCAAAACCCAUUUAUUUUCUAACAUAUAAACACAAACAUUGUAUCAUUGAUAUGAAGGAGCUUUCGAUAGCUUAUUUAAUUUACUUUUCUGUCUUUAAUAAAAUCUAACCUAAACCAUCUUGGAUAAAUUUUUCCUAUACUACUAUGAAAGAUUGCCAGAGGGGGUAUCUUACAAAUACUUUAAUCCAUUUGUUAUGGAUUGAAUUGUGUCCUCCUAAAAUGUGUGUCAGUUUGGCUAGGCAGUGAUUCCCAGUAUUGUGUGAUUGUCCAUCAUUUUGUCAUCUGAUGUGAUUUUCUUACGUGUUGUAAAUCCUACCUCUGUGAUGUUAAUGAGGCAAAAUUAGAGGCAGUUAUGUUAGUGAGGCAGGACUCAAUCUACAAGAUUAGGUUGUAUCUUGAGUCAGUCUCUUUUGAGAUAUAAAAAGGAGAUGUGAGCAGAGAAACAGGGACCCCACGCCCCUAAGAAUGAAAAACCAGAAGGGGAGCACAUCUUUGGACCUGGGGACCCUGUGCUGAGAAGCUCCUAGACUAGGGAAAGAUUGAUGACAAGAACCUUCCUACAGAGCCAACAGAGAGAGAAAAUCUUCCUUUGGAGCUGACACCCUGAAUUUGGACUUAAGAGCUUCCUAGCCUGUGAGAGACUAAAUUUCUCUUUGUUAAAGCCAUCCACUUGUGGUAUGAGUGUUACAGCAGCACUAGAUAACUAGUGCUAAGGAUAUCACGCUUGGUAAAGUAGAAGAUCAGUGAAAAAGAGGAAGACCCUCAGUGAGAUUGACACAGUGACUAUGACAUUGGGCCCAAGCAUAACUGCCAUCAUGAUGAUGGCACAGGACUGGGCAGUGUUUCGUUCUGUUGUAUGUACGGUCACUAUGAAUUGGAACUGACUGAAUGACACCUAACAACAACAGAUAACUAAGACACCAUUCCAUAGGAAUGUUGUCAUCCCCUUAAUUGUGUUCUUUUGCAUAUUUUAGGAAGAUAUUUUUUUCAUGUUGCUUAUUUCAACUGUGUUACAGCAGAAACUAAAUCCAAACAUCUAAGCAUACAAAAAACUAUUUGCAUCAACUCACGUAGAAAACGAUCAGGUAAUUUGGACUUACAUCUUGGCUAUACUAAUAACCACUUGAAUUUUAAAGAAAAAAAUUAUACAUAUUCCACAUCCAUAACUCUAAAGUAAAAGAUAAUUUCCGUUUUUGAAUCCAAAAUGUCUUCUGAAACUUGAGGAUAAGAUUGAAUAAGGAAGGAAAAAAUGCUGCAGAAAUACGGUGAGAGAAAUCAAGCUUUAUACUAAAGAAACUGCAGUGUUCUAUGGAAUCUUCCUCUGCUUCCCAAUGUCAGAUAGCCUGCAGCAUGCCUCUCAGAGUGGGCCACUGGUCAGUUUUCCUAGGCCCAUUGAAACCUGGCCUCCUGACCACUCUCAGGAAUUUAUAACUUAUAAGUAGGUGAUGAAUAGUAAAUGCCAAGUCAGGAGUUUUUUUUUUUUGUUUUUACCCUCAGAAUUGUUGAAUAGAACAUAGGAUAGACUUCCUUUGAUAGUUAUUCCCACAUGCAUUAUAAUAUAGGCACCAGAUUUCUUACUGUAAGAAGUUACAUUUAAGGUCAUAGAAACUGGAUCUAUAAAAAGCACCAAGGCAUGUAAGUAAUAGUACUGCUUUGUAAUUAUACAUAGUAUACAGCUAUUUGCCUUUACCUUUCAAAUGUGUUAUUGCUUUAGUUCCUAAAAGUACUUAAAAGCCAGAUAGUUAUUCACUAAGUUCUCGUUAGUCACUGAAUUAAAAUUGAAUUAUAAAAAUGAUAAUGUCAAAUAGUAUAUAACGACUUUUAGAAGUCUGAUAUACAUUAAACAAAGGAACCAAGAUAAAAUGUGGUUUUCUAAGCUAGAAUGGAGCCCUGGUGGCAUAAAACCAAAAACCAAACCCAGCGCUGUCAAGUUGAUUCCAACUCAUAGCGACCCUCUGGGACAGAGUAGAACUGCCCCAUAGAGUUUCCAGGGAGCGCCUGGAGGAUUCGAACUGCUGACCCUUUGGUUAACAGACAUAGACCUUAAGCACUAUGCCACCAGGGUUGUUAAGAAUUUGGCUGCUAACCAAAAGGUCAGCAGUUCGAAUCCACCAGGCGCUCCUUGGAAACCCUGUGAGGUGGUUCUACUCUGUCCUGUAGGGUUGCUAUGAGUCGAAAUGUUUUGGUUUUCUUAGUUUUAAGAUAGACACUACAACAAAGCCGACGCAAAGACAACAGAACCAUAAUCCUUUAUCAUAAUACUAAAACUAUCCCUAAUGGUUGGAGUUAACUUAGAAUGAAGGCCAACUUUAGGAAAGAUUCUCGAAAUAUUUUUGUGAGUAAAGAGCCUCAUUUUGUAAUAAGCAUCAACCAUUUUACAUUUUAAAAAAUCAGUAAAGUUUGCUGUAACCAAAAUAUCCUCACCUUCACAGCAGCUCGAAGGGGCACAGCUUGUAGGCUAAGUGCCAUGUCCACAGGAAUUUCUGGCUCUGAGUCCCCACUGGUCUAAAUGCUGGAACCCAGCACUCAUAGCCCCUCCUUUCCCAUGGCAGGUCCCAGGGAACUUUAUGUGAUCUCUUUGACAGUCAUUAAGAGAAUUCAGUCUCUUUGGCCCCUGCCUGGUUGCUUGGCACAGGUGCCCUGCUGGUGUUUUUCAGAUGUGUGCUGACCUUGGCAUGACGCUUGGGGGUCAUUGUCUUGUAGUUUGUACUGACCAAUCAUGUAGCCCUCGGUCACUGUUGAUGGAUUAAGUACCCUGAGGUCAACAUCUGUGUUGUUCCAGAUAAAAGGGGAGUAGGAACCCUGGCAGCACAGUGGUGAAGAGCUCGGCUGCUAACCAAAAGGCCAGUUGUUCAAAUCCACCAGCCACUCUUUGGAAACCCUGUGGAGCAGUUCUAUUAUAAGUAAGAAUCGAUUCAGCAAAGGGCUUUUAAGGUGAACAGGGGGCCCUCUCUCUGCCAGUGUUACAGUUUUUUCAAUGAAUUCCUAAACAGAAUGGCCUUGCUUUCUGUUUUUUCAGAGCUUAUAGUGUUAAAUUUUAUGUUGAUUCAAAUCCUUAUGGUUCUUAACUCAUCUUUUGGUCAACUUCUCUGGUACUGGAUCAGAUAACAUUUAAUGUGAUACUACUCAUUCCACCCCUGUAAUGUCUGGACACUAAUUCUUAACUAUUUAGAGCGAAGGAGUCCCUGGGUGGUACAAAGAGUUAACGCACUUAGCUGAUAACUGAAAGGCUGGCAGUUAUGUCCCCCAGAGGUGUAUCAGAAGAAAGUCCUGGAGAUCUACUUCCAAAAAUUAAGCCAUUGAAAACCCUAUGGAGUGCAGUUCUAUUCUGACACACAUGGGGUGGCCAUGAGUCAGAAUCGACUCUACAACAACUGGUUUAUUUGGAAUGAGUUCCCUGCCCGGUCCAGGUCACCCCAAGGAAAUUAGAGGACCACCUCUGUUCCUUCUCUGCCUUGUCCUCUAAAGACUACUGUGGGUUCCAAAGUAUAAUCUCUCUCUCUCUUUUUUUCUCUUUCUUCCUUCACUUAUCUUUCUCUCUUUUCCAGAAGGCCCUUUAGAGCCUCUGGUGACCUGCUCCAAUUUGCUCUACUUUCUAGAAUGCAUAGGUAGUCCAAGCCCCCAUGUUAAGUGUAACUUUUACCUUUUAAGGGAGAAAUUUACCUUCUCUCAAUGAGGAAGUAGAAACAUAAAAUUGUAUUCAAUAAAAUUUUUUUUAAUUUAAUAUUAUGGUUAGUUAAGACUUAAGGUAAAAAAAUUGUACUGAAUGCUGUAUUUGAAAUGAGAUAUUUUUCACUUUUUUUUAUAUUAUUCACUUUUGAAAGUUCUCUUUUUCUUAUCACAAGCAUUUUUAUAUUCAGUUAGAUCAACCAACCCAACUCAGCUCUUUAGAAUUAACUGUGUUUCAUAAACUACUAUUCACAACUUUAAACUGCUUUUUUAUCAAGUCUCUGUUCUGAGGAAAACCUACCGAGAAGCUACAGAGAGGAAUUAUUGCCCAGGAUGAAGUAUCCUGGCCAGAGCGACAUCAUUCCAUGUUGUAUUUGCCAAUAAGUUGACGAAAUUAUGCCUUUUCAAUGAAGGCAUCCUAUUUCUUCUUCUAAAAUUAGGUAUUUUAAAAGGUGAAUUUUAAGUACCUUUCAGUUACUUUAAGACCCAGUUGCAAUACAUUCUUCCUCAGGGCGCAUUUAGACACAACAUGGUGCAGUGUGUGAUACAGACUGAUGGUGAUAUCAGUUGAUUACAAGUCAUUUGCUAGAAGCAGCUGGACUUAUGUGACCAGGUUCAAUAGAAGCUUCAAUAAAUAUCUAGGUAUUUAUUGAGCAUUAACUGUAUAUAAGGCCUUGGACUGAAUUAAAAUGUCAAGCUGACCAUGAACCCAGGAAAUAAUGUUACUAACACCAGUAUACCUAUUAGAAAAUAUGCCGUGGUCAUAAUUUUAAGGGAAAAUUGGGAAUAACUGUAAAAAUAAUUUGUUUAACAAGAUUAGAAAUGGCUGUAUUCAUCUUGAAUAAAGUACCUAUGAGGUCAUCUUGUCGUUAGGUGCCUUUGAAUCGAUUUUCAAUUCAAAGUGACCCCAUGUGACAGUAGAACUGCCUCAUAGGGUUUUCUUGGCUGUAAUCUUUAUGGAAGCAGAUCUCCAGGUCUUUCUCCCACAGAGCCACUGAGUGAGUUCAAACUACCAGCUUUUAUGUUAGCAUCUGAGCACUUAAUCAUUGCUUCACCAAGUCGUAGAGUACUUAAUUCAGAGAAUGUUGUGGGUCUAUUCCAGUGUUAGAUUGGGCUUGUGCUUAAUAUUCUUCAGGAUUGGACUAGACCAGAUGGAAAGGAAGCAAAUUCCCAAAAGCUUAUAGUCUGGUCCACCAUUUUCCAAUGUUAUGGUAUAAUAUUUUGUGACAUGAGUAAAAUCAAAUGCUUCGUACUACUUUUCUAAUAGCCAUGAUCUUAGCCUUUAGAUUUUACUGGGUUUUAAGUUUUCAGAGACCCCAAAAUGAUUUCUUCCCUAAGGGAUGGGGAGGAUCAAACCACUAUAAUCACGAAGCUACUGUCUCAUGUCAACAUUCUGUGCAUUUAUCUUCUUAUUUCUCCGUUGAGCCUACUUACAAUUAUACCUCUCCUCACACCGAGUUUCCACGUUUGUUGGUAUCCUUGGUUCAAAUGAUCCUUUCCCUAAUAGAAUCUUAGUGGAUCUACCUCAUCUCCCAAGUCUCUAUUUAUUAUUCCUAUCUAUGUUCCCAGGACUCUAUUUAUUGUCUCUAUUUGUGUUCACUAUGCAGUGGUAUACCUGUUUUCUCUAGAAAUGUCCUUUGCUCUUCUUGUAGAUUUAUGACAGGUUUCAAUACAUGGAGAAAUAUAUCUGCAAGGUCUGUAUCCUUCUCUGCAGGCAUAAGGUAUUAAUUAGUACUGGCUAGGUUGUUGGAACAAGAGAUUCAAAAAUACAGAGAUCCCAAAAUGGCAGCUGUAUGAUAUAGAGAGUCCAUCUUGUUCCUUUUCCAUCCUUAGGGUACUGGUUUCCUUUUUGUACCUGAAAACAACUCACCCAGUCCACUUAAAAAGAGACUGAGGGAAGCACCUGACCCAGAAGUUGCAUAACUUACUUCUGCUCACGUUCUCUUUACUGCGCACUCCUUAGCUAUAUUUGGAUCUAACUUAAACUGUUAUUAGAAUAGAAGAUAAAGUACAGUGAGGAGACAGCUGGCAAACUCUCUACCCUCUAGUAUGGCCCAGAUUUCUUUUUUAAAAAAUCAAAGUACUUUCGGAUUGAGUAGAUGUAGGUGUCUCAGACUGGGUUCUCUAGAGGAGCAAAACCAGUGAAUCAUAUAUACAUCGAGAUUUAUCUCAGGAAAAUGGCUCAUGAGUUUGUAGAGGCUGGCAAGUCCCAAGUCUGUGGGUCAGGUGUCAGGCUGCAGAAUUCUCUCGACUCACAUAGCUGCAGGGGCUGACAAACGCCAGAUCAACAGGUCAGACAGUAGGCCGCUGGCUCCUGGGCUGCAGAGGCUGACUAAUCCAAGAUCAGUGGGUAAGAUGGCAGGCUUCUGGUUCACGGGAUGUGGAGGCCAAUGAAUCCCAAGAUCAGCAGGCUAUACAACAGGCACCUGGUUCAAGUCCCAAAAACUGGAAGUCAGAUGAUGACAAGCUGGAUGCAGAAUCCAAAAUAAGCAAGUAAACCUUGCCAGAAUGUCCAUAUAUAUAUUGGAUGCAGGUUACACCCAUGAGGAAACUCCCCUUACAAUUGAUUGGCUCAUCAUAUCAGAUCACAUCAUGAGGGAUGAUUACUUCAUUACAUAACUGUCAAACUACAUCAUUACAUAAACUGCCAGACCACUAAGAAUCAUAGCCCAGCCAAGUUAACACACAACCUUAACUAUCACAGUCUACCCUUUCUCAGCUUGGGAGCCGCACAGUUUCCUUAAACCAUACACAAUCACUAAAUAAAGACAAUUUACAAAGUUAUGCUUGAACCUAACGUUGCACCUAAUAUGGAUAACAUUGCAAAGAAUGGGAAUUCCAGAACACUUAGUUGUGCUCAUGAAGAACCUGUACUUAGAUCAAGAAGCAGUCAUUGAAACGGAACAAGGGGGAUACUGUGUGGUUUAAAAUUAAAGGUGUGCGUCGGAGUUGUAUCCUUUCACCAUAUGUUCAAUCUGUAUGCUGAGCAAACAAUCUGAGAAGCUGGACAAUAUGAAGAAGAACGUAGCAUCACAAUUGGAGGAAGACUCACUAACAACCUGUGAUAUGCAGAUGACACAACCUUGCUUGUUGAAAGCGAAGAGGACUUGAAGCACUUACUGAUGAUGAUUAAGGACUACAGCCUUCAGUGUGGAUUACACCUCAACAUAAAGAAAACAAAAAUCCUCACAACUGGACCAAUAGGCUGCAUCAGGAUAAAGAGAAAAAAUAUUGAAGUUGUCAAGGAUUUCAUUUUACUUCGAUCCAUAAUCAACGCCCAUGGAAGCAGCAGUAAAGAAAUCAAACAACACACUGCAUUAGGCAAAUUUGCUGCAAAAGACCUCUUUAAAGUGUUGAAAAGCAAUGAAGUCACCUUGAGGACUAAGGUGUGCCUGACCCAAGGCAUGAUGUUUUCAAUUGCCUCAUAUGCAUGUGAAAGCUGGCCAAUGAAUAAGGAAGAUCAAAGAAGAGUUGGUACCUUCAAAUUAUGGUGUUGACGAAGAAUAUUGAACAUACCGUGGACUACCAGAAGAACGAACAAAUCUGUCUUGGAAGAGGUACAACCAGAAUGCUCAUUAGAAUCAAAGAUGGCAGCACUUCAACUCACAUACUUUGGACGUGUUAUGAGGAGAUACGAGUGUCUGGAGAAGGACAUCAUGCUUAAGAAAGUAGAGGGUCAGCAAAAAAGAGGAAGACCCUCAGCGAGAUGGGUUGACACAGCAGCUGCACCAAUGGGCUCAAGCAUAACAACGAUUGUGAGGAUGGUGCAGGACCAGGCAGUAUUUUGUUCUGUUGUACAUAGGGUUGCUAUGAAUUAGAACCGACUCGACAGCACCGAACAACUACAUGCAUACAACCAAGAUGUUUACAUCUUAUAUUUUUAAAUGAAGAAAACAAAAAUAGUUGAUGCACACAUACAAAGCAGAAAUACUCAUAACAAUUACAGUCCUCAUUUCUGCAGCUGAUCACAUGAUGGUAACUGGUAUUUAGAACUACCUUCUUCCACCACCCAUUCCGUAUUCCCAUCACCUUCAGCAAGCACCUCAGCUGUUUGUGGUUCUUUGCAUGGUGAGUUGAUCCAAAUCUUCAUUCCUAAAGUGUUUGAGCCAUUAGUAGUAAUGUCGGAAUUGGGUCACUGUAGUUUUCCAUUGACUUUAAUCACAGGGCAUGGUAGUACUAAGAGAUGCCCUAAGGGGUCACCUGUAUUCCAGACAUACACUUUUUUACCUCCCUUUUGUAAUAUCAGUCUGAUUUGGUAGUCAGGGUCAGUCACUCCAGUCAGUAUGGUCAUUCCCUUUUUUGCCUGUUGAUCCACAGGCAUGAGGCACCCAAAGUGGCUGGGUGGUAUCCUUAACAUCCAGUUCAAUGGAAUCCAUGUCAUGUCUCCAGGUGGGAACAUUCCUCCAGUUGGAACUAAGACCUCUGGACCUGCAGAGCAAUGAGUUGCAGGGACAGGAAGCAAAAAUUUUGUGAGUGUGUCACUAGGGGUAAUAGUGAGUGAUGCCAGUCCAAUCUCCACCCCUUGAUUCCUGGAACCAUGAAUCCUGGCUAUGGGGGAAACAGCAUUAUACAGGCAUACCUCGUUUUAUUGUGUUUCACCUUGUUGUGCUUCACAGAUAUUGUGUUCUCUACAAAUUGAAGAACCUGCAUCAAGCAAGUCUAUCGAUGCCAUUUUUCAAACAGCAUGCGCUCAGUUCAUGUCUCUAUCACAUUUUGGUAAUUUUCACAAUAUUUCAAAGUUCUUCAUUAUUGUAUCUGCUAUGGUGAUCUGUGAUCAGUGAUCUUUGAUGUUACUGUUGUAAUUGUUUUGGGGCCACAAGCUGCACCCAUAUAAGAUGGCGAACUUAACUCAUACAUGUUGUGUGUGUUCUGACUGUUCCACCGACUGGCCAUCCCCCCAUCUCUCUCUCUCUCUUCUUAGACCUCCCUAUUCCCUGAGACUCAACAGAGUUGAAAUUAGGCCAAUUAAUACCCCUACAAUGGCCUCUAAGUGUUCGAGCGAAAGGAAGAGUCAGACACCUCUCACUUAAAUCAAAAGCUAGAAAUGAUUAAGCUUAAUGAAGAAGGCAUGUCAAAAACUAAGACAGGCUGAAAGGCCUCUCGUGCCAGUUAACCAAGUUGUGAAUGCAAAGGAAAAGUUCUUGAAGGAAAUUAAAAGUGCUAUUCCGGUGAACACAUAAAUGAGAAGUAACUGAAAGAUGCGUAUUGCUGAUACAGAGAAAGUUUUAGUGAUCUGAAUAGAAAAUCAAAUCAGCCACAGCAUUCCCUUAAGCCAAAGCCUAAUCCAGAGCAAGACCCUAACUCUCCUCAAUUAUAUGAAGGCUGGGAGAGGUGAGGAAGCUGCAGAGGAUUUGGUUCAUGAGGUUUAAGGAAAGCAGCCAUCUCCAUAACAUAAAAGUGCAAGGUGAGGCAGCAAGUGCUGAUGCAGAAGCUGCAGCAAGUUAUCCAGAAGAUCUAGGUGAGGUAAUUGACGAAGAUUGUUACACUAAACAGCAGAUUUCCAAUGUGGAUGAAGCAGCCUUAUACUGGAAGAAGAUGCCUUCUAGGACUUUCAUAGCUAGAGAGGAGAAGUCAAUGCCUGGCUUCAAAGCUUCAAAGGACAGGCUGACUCUCUUGUCGGAUCUAAUGCAGCUGGUGACUUCAGGUCGAAGCCAAUGCUCAUUUACCAAUCCAAAAAUCCUAGGACCCUUAAAAAUUAUGCUAAAUCUACUCCGCCUGUGCUCUAUAAAUGGAACAAGAAAGCCUGGAUGACAGCACAUCUUUUUACAACAUGGUUUACUGAUAUUUUAAGCCCACUGUUGAGACCUACUGCUCAGAAAAAGAUUCUUUUCAAAAUAUUACUGCUUAUUGACAAUGCACCUGGUCACCCAAGAGCUCUGAUGGACAUGUAUUAGGAGGUUAAUGUUGUUUUCAUGUGUGCUAACACAACAUCCAUUCCGCAGGCCAUGGAUCAAGGAGUAGUUUGACUUUCGAGUCUUAUUACUUAAGAAAUACAUUUUGUAAGGCUAUAGCUGCCGUAGAUAGUGAUUCCUUUGAUCAUCUGGGCAAAGUAAAUUGAAAAUCUUUUGGAAAGGAUUCACCAUUCUAGAUGCCAUUAAGAACAUUUGUGAUUCAUGGAGGAGGUCAAUAUAUCAGCAUUAACAGGAGUGUGAAAGAAGUUGAUUUCAACCCUCCUGGAUGACUUUGAGGGGUUCAAGACAUCAGUGGAGGAAGUAACUGCAGAUGUGAUGGAAAUAGCAAGAAAACUAGAGUUAGAAGUGGAGCCUGAAGGUGUAACUGAGUUACUGCAACCUCAUGAUAAAAUUUUAAUGGAUGAGGAGUUGCUUCUUGUGGACAAAGAAAGUGGUUGCUUCAGAUGGAAUCUGUUUCUGGUGAAAAUGCUGUGAACAUUGUUGAUAUGACAAAGGAUUUAGAAUAUUACAUAAACUUAGUUGAUAAAGAAGAGUCAGAGUUUAAGAGGAUUGACUCUAAUUUUGAAAGAAGUUCUAUUUGUGGGUAAAAUGCUAUCAAAUAGCAUUACAUGCUACAGAGAAAUCUUUCAAUUGAUUUCAAACUUACCUUAAUAUUUACCCACUUUUCUAAGUUUAAACCUAACUUUAUUUAUAUCGCCUUUACUUCCUCUCCAUAUCAAAGAUUUCAGACUACAUUUCUUAGUCCUUCUUUAUUGUUUUAAUGUUGUCUUCUUUUACAUAAUUACUUUGCUGUUUCCCUGUUUUAACUUCUGUUUAUCUGGAAAUACCCUAAUUUCACCUUCAUAUUUGAGAGACAGUUUUGCUCUAUAUUUGAUUGUUAGCUGGCAGUUUUUUUUCUUCAGUGCUUUAUAUAAGUCAUCUCAUUGCCUUCUUGCCUGCUUGGUUUCUGCUGAGUAGUCCGAGCUUAUUCUUAUUGACUCUUCUUUGUAGGUGACUUUUCGUUUAUCCCUAGCCGCUCUUAAAAUUCACUCUGUAUCUUCAGUUUUGGCAAGUUUGAUUAUAAUAACAUCUUGGUGACUUUAUUUUGAGAUCUACCUUGUGUGGAGUGUGAUGAGCAUCUUGGAUAGAUAUUUUCUCAUCUUUCACAAUAUCAGGGAAGUGUCUGCCAACAAAUCCUAAACAAUUCUUUCUGUAUUUUCUGUUAACCCUUCCUGUUCUGGUACUCCAAUCACUCGUAGGUUAUUUCUCUUGAUAGAGUCCUACAUGAUUCUUAAGUUUUCUUCAUUUUUUUUUUAAUUCUUUUAUCUGGUUUUUCUUAGAAUAUGUUGUUGCCAAGUAUUUUAUCUUCAGUCUCACUCAUUCUGCCUUCCACUUGCUCAAUUCUGCUCCUCUGACUUUAUAUCAAGUUGUCUAAUUCUGUAAUUUUAUUGUUAAUCUUCGGAAUUUCUGAUUGUUGUCUCUCUACGGAUUCUUGCAGCUUAUUUUUCAUUAUGUUCUUGAAUAACCUUUUUAAUUUCUUCAACUGCUUUAUCUAUGUGUUCCUUGGCUUGUUCUGCAUUUUGCCUGAUCUCCUUCCUUAUCUUGUUCCUGGUGUUCUGUAUGUUAAUCUUGUGUAUUCUGCAUCUGGUAAUUACAGGAAUGCACCUUCAUCCAGAAGAUCCCUUGAUUCUUUGUUUUGAGAGCUUGUUGAAGUGAUCAUGGUCUGCUUCUUUAUGUGAUUUAAUAUUGAUUGUUGUCUCUGAGCCAUCUAUAAGGUCUUUGUUGUAAAAGGGAUCACCGGAAGCAUCUGACUACUCAGCCAUCUUGGCCCCGCCUCUGAUGUGUCAAACUUUGUUGUCUUAUUUUAAGAAAUUGCCACAGCCACCCCAGCCUUCAGCAACCACCACCCUGAUCAGUCAGCAGCCACCAAGAUCGAGGAAGAUCCUCCACCAGCAAAAAGACUGACUCACUGAAGGCUGAGAUGAUAGUUAGCAUUUCUUAGCAAUAAAAUAUUUUUUAAUUAAA